CCUGGAUACGAGGCUACGGGUGUGCGUUUUUGCGCCAAAGGUCUUUCUACCAGCAAAACAAAAUAGCAGGACAGAAGUGACAGCGUCAGAAAGAAAACAAUGCUGUUCCGAUUGCUGAUGGAGACAACAGAGAAAGACAGGAGAAGGUCAAGACUCAAGAGCUGGACUUUCCAUGACGUCCUCAAUCGACCCCUGUGAAUAGCAGCCCACCGUUGACCAGCCAUCAGUAUCUACUGUGCAGUCAUUUCCUGACCCGGUUUCUCACUAGCCCUUCGCAGACGAACACUACCACGAUGAAGACGGUCGUCUGGAUAAUACUUCGGUUUGGCACCGGCAUGGUCUACCACAAAGAUAGACGCCAGACCUUCUGAAAGGACCUAAUGGACUGAGUGCUGGAAAGAAGACAACCCUUCUAUAGAAUAAACUGAGUGUAACAAACACUCCACCACGAAAACUCUCCACUCCAGUCCCAAGAACAGACAUGUAUGUUUUAGUGUCAUGACGGAGCAAUCAUUUCGGAAGGUCCUAAACCCUAUUUAUCUAACAUACUUUCUGAUGUUUGAUAGUGACAUCUUGGUUACCCAAUAUGACAUUU